rnacentral:rRNA from 1 species
GAUGAACGCUAGCGGCAGGCUUAACACAUGCAAGUCGUGGGGCAGCGCGAGGUAGCAAUACUUUGGCGGCGACCGGCAAACGGGUGCGGAACACGUACGCAACCUUCCUCAGAGCGGGGAAUAGCCUCUCGAAAGAGAGAUUAAUACCCCAUAGUAUCUCGAAACUGCAUGGUUUUGAGAUUAAAGCUUCGGCACUUUGAGAUGGGCGUGCGGCUGAUUAGGUAGUUGGUAGGGUAACGGCCUACCAAGCCAACGAUCAGUAGCUGAUGUGAGAGCAUGAUCAGCCACACGGGCACUGAGACACGGGCCCGACUCCUACGGGAGGCAGCAGUUGAGGAAUAUUGGUCAAAUGGAGGAAACUCUGAACCAGCCAUGCCGCGUGAAGGAUGAAAGGUCCUCUGGAUUGUAAACUUCUUUUAUAGAAGAAGAAACCCCAUUAUUCUUAAAUGGGUUGACGGUACUCUAUGAAUAAGCACCGGCUAAACUCCGU